rnacentral:rRNA from 1 species
CGGAGCGAAAUCGUGUGCACACUUGCUCGCUCGCGCACGAAAAGGAUGUUUUCCAUUUUUACCCCCGUGUCGGCCGGGGACACGGUAGCGAAACAUCUGCAUCCCUUCCCUCACACGCUCGCCCGCAUCCCUCCCUCUCUCACGCUCGCCCGCAUCACCGGCGCCGGCGUCCUCUCCCUUGCACCUCUCUCGCCCGCGCCGCCUCUCCCCGAGCUCCUCGCUCGCCCGCGUCGUCGGCACCCUCUCCCUCGCGUGCGUCGCCGGCGCUCUCCAACACCAGCUCCAUUGUUAAAAAUGCGAUUUCCCCCCCUCCGGCCCUCCGAUCUGCAGUGGCGGUCCUCGAUCUGCUGCGGCGACUAUCAAGACGGCACGACGGAGCUGUUACUGCCUGUCGCCUGCCCAGAGCUUCUGUUGCCGGUUGCCUACCCGGAGCUGUUGCUGUCGGUCGUCUGCCUGGAUCUGCUUCUUCAGGCGAUGCCCACAUCGCCGUCUCCCUCCCGCUCCUCUUCCUCCUCCUCGUCGGUUACUUCACCACCUCAGCAUCACCGGCGGGGGGCUGGGAGGGGGAGGGGUGGAUGGGCCCUUCUUCAAGGCCUACAACCAUCACAGAGCAGAGCAGGAAGCUCGUCUUCGAGGUAUGGUGCAGAUGUGGUGGAGUAUAUCUUUUGGAAUGGGCAUGAACCGGCCAAAGUUCAGGUUCUUCGUUGCCUUCUUCGGGUGGAGUGAAAUUGAGGUCUAGGACUACCAUGCUUGCAAUUGGGCCAACGAUUUGCUGCUAUUGCUGUUGAGGAUCUGCUGCCGUUGCUUCUGUUGAGGGCCAGUGAUUUGCUACUGUUGAUAUUGAGGAUCUGCUGCUGUUGCUUCUAUUGAGGGCCAAUGAUCUGCUGUUGUUUCUUCUGUUGAGGAUCUGCUAUCGAAGGGAAGGAGCUACAGUUGAGGAUCUGCUACUGUUGCCAGGGGACAAGCCGGCAAGGAGCACCGAGCCUGGAGGUGGUCACGCAUGAGAGGAGCUCCUGAUCUUCUCCCCUGGCCCCCGGCGAGCUGGACCUUCUGGCGACACGGGGAAGAAGGGAGGUGGUUCUGGGCGAGCUUAAGCUUGCCGGCGAAGUGCUGCUGGGGCCGGCGGCCGGCGAGGUGCCCUCCUGGGGCCGGCAGCGAGGUUCCUGGAUGAGCAGGAAGCUGGGCAGGGAGGAGGAGAUCCUGGGCGGAGGAGAAUCUGGGCGAGGUGGGAAGGGAGGAGAUCCUGGCGAGGAGAAUCUGGGCGAGGUGGGAAGGGAGAAGCUGGGCGGCGAGGUGUGCGGUGAGCCGGCGACGCGCUGGGAGGCGACGCACUUGGCGAAGCGAUCCCGAUGGUUUUUGAAUUUCAAAUUGAUCGAAGGGUAUUGUUGUCCAUUAGCGAUUUUUGGGGCUGUCGGAAAUCUCCUUCCGCGCCUUACAAAAGUGAACGGAGGGAGACGUUCCCGUCGAUGACGAGGUGCCUACGGUGACUUCGUAAAUUUUAAGAUGAUAUGCUGGCUCAGUCUUUCGAAGAUGCUCAUAGAGAUAGGGAUGAAUGUAUGCGUAUGUAUAUAAACACUUGUUGUACUGUAUUAAAAAAUAUUAUCUGUCUUUUAUUACCUACUUAUUUUCG